UGGCGUGUGGAAGUUCCUAGGCCAGGCAUCCAACCCGAGCCACAAGCAGUAAUAAUGCCAAGUCCUCAACCGCUGGGCCACCAGGGAACUCCUCAAAAUGUUUUAAUGCCUGACUACUUUGGUAAAAUAAUGAACCCUUACUCAGUAGUAAUAUAACUCACAUUUAUUAGCACUUGCACUUUACCUAAUUUAAUCCUCAUGGCAAAGCCCUAAUGGUUCCAUUACUUAAAAUCCUCUUUUAUAAUAAUGAGACCGAGGCACAGAGAGGUUAAGUAAUUUUUCCAAGCUCACCCAGUAGUAUGUGGUGGAACCAUGAUUCGAACUCAAGCAGUCUGACUCCAGAGCCCAUGAUGAAACUGGAGCAAAGGAGAGGAGUGGGGAGGGCUGGUGGAGAGUGGGAGACCCUGCUUUGUGUCCCCUUCUGUAAAUCUAAUCACCACUAUGUCAUAGAAAACACCGACUGGAUUGUUUCCAUGCCUCUCAGAGAAGAGCAUCCAGAGCAAUUAUGCAUAACUUGGAAAUAGGUCGAAGCUAAUACUGAGUACACUUCCUCUGUAGACCUGGAUGGUGUCUAGUGGCCUCUGCUGCCCAGGGAUUAUCUCAUUUUCUGAGGCUGCAAACCUUUUGCUGAUGAUUAGGAAGGCUAUAUCGCAAGCUUAUGAGAAUAUAGGUAACCUUGCAGAAAACUGAUAGCAUUACCAAUGACUCUUGCCCAACACCAUCCCAAAGAUUAUAACCCAGUGAGGCAUUAACCAGUUUUGCAUUUACCAGCAAAUUUAUAUCUGCAUUCCUUUGACCAACUAUAACUCUCCAGGUCCCUGAUUUUCUCUUGAAUCAGUCUUAACAUCUUACUGGUUUCCUCAUUGGUCGAACUGAAUAAAAUCUUUGACUUCUGUUGCUUUUCUCUUUGUAUAAGAGUCAUGUUGUUAACCUUUUGAAAAUUGUACUUGGCAAAUGGUAUGGCCAACGUGAGCUCCAUAUAAUGAUGAAACCAUAUUUCCAGCCUCAUUCAUCCUAAAAUGAAACCUUGUAAACUAGAAGGUAGAUAAUAUUCAUGUGUAUAUACAUAUAUAGUGAAGAAAUGUACUUUGGUUCUAGGACAUUACUAUUAAAAACUAUAAAUUGAUCAAAUAGUUAAGAACUACAGACACACUAUAGAACCGGCUCAGUGGACCCCUGUUUCUCAUUCUGUUUACAAACAGAUCUCCCCUGGAUCCCUAAUCUGAGUUCCUUUUCUGUGUAGUAUUGACUGUCACUGUUAAAGAGACUGAUUCGUGGGUGAGAAAGAAGAGGAAUUUCAGAUAUUCCGAAGGAUCCUUUUGCAUGAAGAUAUUUCUGCAUCAAAAGAACAGUGCUCCCCGAGGGCCUGGGAGGCAGGUAAACAAAAUCAACUUGUGGUUUAAACAAGGGAAUUUCCUAGGAUUCAUGAAAAUAGUGAAUAAACAGGGUCUGAUGAAACGGUGACAGGGUAUAUCUGAGAUGAUAUUUGGGGACACUUUUAAUUAGGACCUCCAGAAUUUGGUGUCAAUGAGAGGAGAGGUUUGCUCCCAUGAACAGCUUGUUUCUGGGAAGGGUGACACCCAGCCGCAGCUGGGGGAAGAAGAAAGCUCAGUAGAACAAGGGAAGCGUGACUGGGCAGGUUUGUUUUUGGCAAAAGGCAUUUAUUGCAUAAGGCGGAGGGCCCCCUCUGGAUCUGAUGCUGUACCAGUCCACGCCAGCAAGGACGUUCAGUCGUGCAGCAAAGAGAAGUCCAACAAAGAACAUGAGCAAGUAAGGUCUUAAAAACACCUCUAGAGAGGGAUCAGUGCGGCAGGGCUCAGAGAAUGAAGUCAUAUCCAGGGCUAGGGGCAGGGCUGGCCUCAAAGAGAACGUAGGAUUCAAGAUGAGACUGAAAGCACAGCUAGGAUUUCAUCAGACAGAGAUGCAGAUGAUGCACUGACGUCCAAGCACAGAGCACAAGCAAAGAAACAGAUGGGAAACAGAAUGGUGUUUCAAGAAAGUCGUGAACAGCAGAGUGGGAACAAGACACGGGGGGCAUAGUGUAGGAGUCUCCCAAGUGCUAGGCUUGAGGAGUUUGUUCUUAUUUCAGUAGAAAAAGGAACAUUGGAGUAAGGGAAGGACGUGACCAAGAAGGCUGUUUUAAGACUUGGGUCUGGCAGUAGUAAGUUUGCAAUGGAAAGGAACUAAGAUCGGUUGAGCACUUAGAUAUUUCACAUAUGUUACCCCCAUUAAAUCCUCACACCCUGAAAGAGGGAUGACACCUGCUUUACAGAUGAGGAGAUGAAGCCUCGGAGGGAUCAAGAAAUUAAAGUCACCGUGGACAUAAAGGGCAGAGAUGGGACCCCAACUCCAAAGCCGCCUUCCUUUCUACCAUACCUUGCUACCUGGGGGGAAGGGCUGCAGGUGAAAAGACCAUUUCAGAAACUGUCAUUAACAAUCUAAGCAACAGGUGGUUUUGGCCAAAACUCAGAUGGUAUAGCUUUGGGAAUGGAAAGGACAUAAACUGAAGAAGCAUCAAAGGACAGUCUAGGGAAUGCGGCAAGGAAAUUACAUGCCUAGGAAGAAUCUGAAUAACACCUCGCCUUGAAGCCUCAGGAGACAAGGAAGCCAUUAACAGAAACAAAGAGUCUGGAGAAAGACUGUGCAGGCAAGGCUCAGCUCACUUAGGAUCGAGUUUUGCGAGAGCCAUGGUCAGGCAGUCUCAACCGAAGAGGUGGCAGACCUCUGCUGGGAAGUGAGAAUUGAAGACAAAAAAUAAAUGAGCAAAUAUGAAACAGGACUUUAGAAAAUGCCUACAUUUAGGAGGUGAGAUGAUAGAGGAUACAUUCUAAAAAGAAGAUUCUGGAUCAUGCCGCCACCAGAAUCAAAAGCAGGGGAGAAUUUCAAGGCAGUGACCCACAGGGUCAGGAGUUGAGCAGCAGGAACGCUGGUGGCCUCAGUUUGCAACACGGCAGGGGAGCUCUGGGUGUCCAGGAUGGUGGUUGCAGGGAGCCUGGGGCACACGCCAGACUGAGGCACCGAGGAAUCCUUAGGAUUGCGAGACUGGGCAAGCCUUAGGCCAAGGUGAUCAGAAGGAAGGCGCCAGGACCCAGUGAGAGAAGGAAGAUGCAGGAGAGAGAACAGGUAAUGAAUGGAACCAAAACCCAGGGCUGAGGUCCUGGGGAUGGAGGGAGAAAAGAGUGCUUUCCCUUUUUUUCCUUUCACACCUACAGAAAACCUGUUAUACUGAUUUGGCUCUUCUUACAAAUCAGCAUUUAUUGUGCUAUGUACCCCUAACUUGGAACGGAACUAGCAAACCACGAUAAGUAACAAUGAGCCCUUUUCUGGUCUAUUUUAAGGACAAAUGCUGCUGUUUGGCGAUGGGAUCUGCUCGUGUUUAAACUAGAAGCGGGGGGCGGGGGGAGCAGAACCCCUCUCUAACCUGGCUGGAUAGUUUUAUUACUAUUUAAAGCAUCCCUUUCAGCGAUUUAGGAAACAUUAAUGCGUGCUGGCUAAUGUCGGCUGGAAACCGAAAGUCUGACAGCAGCUCUCAGCCAAUCCUGAGAUUUGGUGAGGAUUUUUAUUUUGGUCGUCCUGAGCCUACUGUAACUGGGGCGGCUGAGUUGCUAUGGUGAUUUGUUCUCCAAACAGAGGGCUUUGCCGCAGUACCUUGAAACAGCAGAUCAAUCUACUUUAUGUUGACUUGAUCAUGAUAUUAAUUCUAGUUGAAACCUCCCCCAGGCUCCCAUCAGGACUUGUACGCAGGAAUUUUAAAUCCGGGUCCAAGAGGCAUCGUCUUUUUAAAGCCAGGCCCUCACAAUUCCUGCCCCCGAGACUGCAGGCUCACAGUCAAAAGCUCCGGGGUCAGGGGUGGGGGGGACUGCAGUUGGAGGAAGGUUCAUCAUUGAAGCAAUUAUGUGCUUAAUCGCUGCAGCGUGGGCACCGGCUGCAAGUUGUGACUCAUUCCCCACUCUGUCACUAAUAAUUGGGGGCGGUGGACAGGAUGCACAGAAAACUCAGCUGCUUUUUCCCGAGUUCCUCUUGCAAAUCUGGAAGUCGCUGAGAUCCGUCCUUGAAGCAGGGGAGAAAGGCCGACCUCAGCUCCACGACGUGGCCCUGCCUGUCUCCACCGGUAGGGGGCCCCAUUGAGUCACCGGACUCUAUAAGGAUGACUGCACUUUGAAUGGGGGUGUAGCUGCCUCUGGGUCUUGCCCAACGGUGACGCGGGAGAGGAAAAAAAAAAAAAAAAAGGAGCUGCCUGAUUUCCAGCGUGACUCAUUAUAAACAAACGGAGGACAGAUUGACUGCCUCUUAUCAGAGCCUGAGUAUGAGCCCCAGGACUGAGGAUAACAUGCCCCGUUGUGAGCAGGAAAAGUCACUUUUCCUUCCUCUUGCUAUAGAGUCUCUUGCUAAUUCCAGCUUCUGGCUGAUAACCUUAUGGGGUCUUCAAAAUCAUUAUUUGGAAAACAAUGCCCGUUUACUCAACAACCACUCCUGAAGCUCCUACUGUGUGCCAGACAAUGACUGAAAUGACCAAAGAACUAGAAAAAAAUCCUUGCAUACCCACCUGCCAUAGUGUCCUAGAGCUGCCAUAACAAAGCACUGCACAUUGGGUGAUUACAGCAACAGAAAUUUAUUCUCUCCCAGUUCCAGAAGUUGGAAGUCAAGGUAUCAGUCGGGCCAGGCUCCCCCAGAGGCUGCAGGGGAGAAUCCUCCUUCACCACUUCCAGCUCCUGAAGGCUGCGGGUAAGGCUUGCAUUGCUCAACUCCUAUGCAGCUUCCCCCUUCCAGUCUCUGCCUUCAUCUUCACAUGGGCUUCUUCCUUCUGAGUGUAUCUCGGUGUAGUCUCUCCUCGUCUUAGAAGGACAGCAGUCACUGGACUUAGGGCGCACCAUACCCCUGUAUGAUAUCCUCUCAACAGUUACAUCUGCAAACACCCCAUUUCCAGUUAAGGUCACAUCCUGAGGUUCCUGGUGGAUGUGGAGUUUGGGGAGACAUUAUUCAACCCUGUACAAAGACUCUUGUUUUUUGUUUCUGUCUCUGUUUCUUUGUCUCUGUCAUUCUCUCUUCUUUGCAGGAUGAGUUAGCUUUGUAAAAAUUAAUUGGGACACUUUUAAAUUUUUUAUACCCUGAAAACAAUUCGAUCAUAUAGAAAUUCUCUCUUCCUUUAAGGUUUGACAGAAUUUGCCCAACGCCUCCCCCAAAUUGCCUAAGUUCACGUUUCAUCAAAGUCUUGCAGAGUUCUUUAUCAGCUGCUUCUGUGACUUUUCAUCUUGUUGAAUUUUUCUGCCUAUUCUUGAGUGGAUUAUAUUGUCUUAUUUUGGUUAAUAUUUUAUUAGCAUAAAUUUAAACACAGUGUGCUUUUAGCUUGAAUCCUCUUUCAUGUCUUUGUCUCUCAUCCCUUUUAUAUUUCUAGAGCUGUUUAUUUGCAUUUUUUUCUUUUUUUUCCUCAUGCAAACUUGCCAGAGGUUUGUCUCAUUUAUUGGUCUUUUUUUUUUUUUUUUUUUUUUGCGCAUGGUUCCUAGUCGGAUUCGUUUCCACUGUGCCACGAUGGGAACUCCUUAUUGAUCUUUUAAAAGAGUUAGCUCUUUGAUUUGUCUUAUCAAUUCUAUUGUUUUCUGUUUUCUAAUUUGCUUUUGUCUGCUUUUCUCUUUCCUUCUUUCCUUCUGCCACCCUUAGAUUUAUUUUAUUAGUUUUUAAUCUCAGUUGUUUAGUUAAUUGCUUUUUUAUUCAUUUUUAUCUUAUAACAAAACCACUUAGCUUUAUCUUUUCUCCAGUAAGUAGCCAGAGAGAUGGGCGCACUGUGAGACCAUCAUAGCCAGGAGUCAGGGCCUGGGAAUAGAAAAGAUCAAAAACAUCUUUCUUGGGAGUUCCCUUUGUGG